rnacentral:lncRNA from 1 species
UGCAGACAUCAUCAGAAUUGUGUGAAGAAGGUGGAAGCUUUCGGGGGAGUGUGCCGCAUCUUCAGUCACAGCAGACGGGAGGAUGACAGGACUUUCACUCACCGCAAAUGUCACCACUUCCGCCUGAUCCUUACAAGCGUGAACGGAUUUAGCCAGAAAUUGACACACACAGCAGAUGGCAGAACCUCUGCAGGAGCAGCUCAGACAAGAGACCAAACUUUUCUGCACACAAGCAGUGGGAGUUUUGCAGUCCAGUUUUUUCACAGUCGCUGUCCCGGGAAUAAACUACCCUGCUAAGCUAGGAUGACCCAGUGCUAACAUGCCGCUGCUGGGGAAACAAAUUCUAAUCGGGGAUUGUCACCACUUCCGGAACAACAAAAGGAGAGGAUCAUCCACCUGCAGCGGUUACAUCUGUGACAGACGAGAGGCAAGAGGACGGCAAAAGACGGCAUUAUUUCGGCUCCCCUCUGACGGUCCUCUAAUUUAAU